UACGUAGGCAGCAAACGUUGUUCGGAAUUACUGGGCGUAAAGAGUGUGUAGGCGGCUUUGUAAGUUCUGUGUGAAAUCUCCCGGCUCAACUGGGAGGGUGCGCCGAAUACUGCAAGGCUUGAGUACUGGAGAGGAUAGCGGAAUUCCUGGUGUAGCGGUGAAAUGCGCAGAUAUCAGGAAGAACACCCGUGGCUAAGGCGGCUCUCUAGUACGGUACUGACGCUGAGACGCGAAAGCGUGGGGAGCGAACAGG
rnacentral:rRNA from 1 species